rnacentral:rRNA from 1 species
UCAGGACGAACGCUGGCGGCGUGCUUAACACAUGCAAGUCGAGCGGUAAGGCCUUUCGGGGUACACGAGCGGCGAACGGGUGAGUAACACGUGGGUGAUCUGCCCUGCACUUCGGGAUAAGCCUGGGAAACUGGGUCUAAUACCGGAUAUGACCUCCUAUCGCAUGGUGGGUGGUGGAAAGAUUUAUCGGUGCAGGAUGGGCCCGCGGCCUAUCAGCUUGUUGGUGGGGUAAUGGCCUACCAAGGCGACGACGGGUAGCCGACCUGAGAGGGUGACCGGCCACACUGGGACUGAGACACGGCCCAGACUCCUACGGGAGGCAGCAGUGGGGAAUAUUGCACAAUGGGCGAAAGCCUGAUGCAGCGACGCCGCGUGAGGGACGACGGCCUUCGGGUUGUAAACCUCUUUCAGCAGGGACGAAGCGCAAGUGACGGUACCUGCAGAAGAAGCACCGGCUAACUACGUGCCAGCAGCCGCGGUAAUACGUAGGGUGCAAGCGUUGUCCGGAAUUACUGGGCGUAAAGAGUUCGUAGGCGGUUUGUCACGUCGUUUGUGAAAACUCACAGCUCAACUGUGAGCCUGCAGGCGAUACGGGCAGACUUGAGUACUGCAGGGGAGACUGGAAUUCCUGGUGUAGCGGUGAAAUGCGCAGAUAUCAGGAGGAACACCGGUGGCGAAGGCGGGUCUCUGGGCAGUAACUGACGCUGAG